ACUGCCAUAUCACGUUGAAAUACCGGUUCCUGUAUGAUCACCGUAGUUAAGCAACAACGAGCCUGUUGCACAUAGAUGGGUGACCACUUGGGAAUACCAGGGGCUGUAAG